rnacentral:rRNA from 1 species
UACGAAGGAUGCAAGCGUUAUCCGGAUUUAUUGGGUUUAAAGGGUGCGUAGGCGGCUUAUUAAGUCAGUGGUGAAAGCCCGGAGCUCAACUCUGGAAUUGCCAUUGAUACUGAUGAACUUGAGUACGAGAGAGGUGAGUGGAAUUCCCAGUGUAGAGGUGAAAUUCGUAGAUAUUGGGAAGAACACCGGUGGCGAAGGCGGCUCACUGGCUCGUAACUGACGCUCAUGCACGACAGCGUGGGGAUCAAACAGG